rnacentral:lncRNA from 1 species
AUGUGCCUGGUAGGGAGGUGAGUGUGGGCGAGGUCCCGUAUCUUACCAAUAGCAGAGUGUGGAUGGUGUUCCACAUCUCAGUAGCAGCAGAUCAGGGGCGAGGCCCAAGUUAGGGAAGGAGUGAGGGUGGGCUGGGCCCGUACCUCACCAUCAGCAGGAGUAUGGACGGGGUUCCAUGACUCAUAAGUAGCAGGACAAGGGCGGGGCCCAGAGAUAGGCGAGGCCUUAGGACAAGAUCUGUUAGUAGGGUAUAUUGGAGAUUUUGGAGCAGGACUUCAGACUCCUGUGAUCUUUGGCACGGUCAAGGUGGGUAUAUUGGAGAUUUUGGAUGAGAGGCUGGGAGCCUUUCGUACUAAGAUGAUGGCAUUGAUGGGAGCGCGUACCUUGACAUUUCGAGAGUUCAGGGCUUGCGGGGCACCAGAUUGUCAUGGGGCUAGGGACCCCAUCGCUAGCAGCAGAUGGUUGGCUGAUGUUGCCAACGCAUUCCGUACAAGCCGGUGUCCAGAGGGGGACAAGGUCAGACUCGCUUCCUGUCUUCUGAAGGACAGAGCGAGGGAUUGGUGGGAGGAGAUUGGUCAUGCUUUGGGGGAUGAUGCUGCGUUGGACGCGAUGACUUGGAGCGAUUUCUCGGCCAGGUUCAGGGCGGAGUUUUCGCCGAUUAUUGAGGUGCAACAGUUGGCACGGGAGUUUUAGGAUUUGACGCAGACCACUGAGACUGUGGCGGAGAUCACCACCAAGUUCAGGGAGAGGGAUCUUCUUGUACCGCAAUAUGUCAUGGAUGAGGAGAUGAAGAAGGCCCGAUAAAAAGUUAGGGAAGGAGUGAGGGUGGGUAUUUUGGGGUCUCGUAUCUCACCAAUAGUUUAUACUUGUUGUCUGUGUGAUACUUGUAUGUGCCUGGUAGGGAGGUGAGUGUGGGCAAGGUCCCGUAUCUCACGAAUAGCAGAGUGUGGAUGGUCUUCCACAUCUCAGUAGCAGCAGAUCAGGGGCGAGGCCCAAGUUAGGGAAGGAGUGAGGGUGGGUUGGCCCCGUACCUCACCAUCAGCAGGAGUAUGGACGGGGUUCCAUGACUCAUCAGUAGCAGGACAAGGGCGGGGCCCAGAGAU